CGCUGGGUAGCUCAGUCAGGCAGAGCAGCGGUUUCAUACGCCGUGUUGCGCGGGUUCAAUUCCCGCUCCAGCGACCA
rnacentral:tRNA from 1 species